CUAGUACGAGAGGACCAGGAAGGACGCACCUCUGGUGUACCAGUUAUCGUGCCUACGGUAAACACUGGGUAGCCAAGUGCGGAGAGGAUAACUGCUGAAAGCAUAUAAGUAGUAAGCCCACCCCAAGAUGAGUGCUCUCUCCUCCGACUUCCCUAGAGCCUCCGGUAUCACAGCCAAGACAGCGACGGGUUCUCCACCCAU
rnacentral:rRNA from 1 species